rnacentral:miRNA from 1 species
GGUUCUCCUCUCCACAGAGAGCUGAUCACUUGUUGGGAUGACCUGCCUGUGGAAAGGAGCUACCCAC